AGGGUGGCGUAAAGGAUAGAGGGAGGGAUGACGUCAUAGUUGAGGGUUGCCCGGGCAACGGGGAAGCGGUUCGCCGCCGCGUCGGGACACCGUCGUGCGUCGCCACCGCCGCCGCGACGUAAAAAUCAAUUUGGACCUUGGCUAGGUGACCGUUCGCUCGGCGCUGCGUCGCGGCUGCUCCGGCGGCUCGAGGCUCGAGAGCAGCACGCUUCCCUUCCGGAGCUGCCGGUCACCUCGCCACCGAGUGAGCGAGCGAGCGAACGAGCGAACGAUCGAGCAAGCGAGCGAGCUAGCUAGCUAACGACCAACCGACCGACCGACUGACUGACUAGCCGACCGACCGACCGACUAGCCGACCGACCGACCGCCUGACCGAUACCGCACCGCGAGCAGUAGCUCAGUCGCGAGUCGUCAACCGAGCGGGUACGCCAGACGGUAGAGAACGCGUCUGCCAGCGAGCGUGUACGCUGACGCGCACACUUACACUUGUCGCACGCGGCCGACCGACCACACUCUCUCUCCGUUCUCCUAUCUCGACGCUCUUCGAUCAUAUCCGACGUCUGUGCGUUCACGCGGACAAUGAUCCAUGAGGGGAAGAUUCGCAUCUCGCUACGCUGACAAGCAUCGCCGCGGUCGCAGCCUGUUUCAACGUUUAUCCUGCGGAUCUUUUUCCAGCGGGUGCACGCUGCACGAAGCCGGGCGAGCGUAGUUUUGUGCGCGAGGAUGAUGAAACGACACGAGUGGACAAUACGAACCACAUCGAGGGAGUUUGAGCAGUUACGCUUCGAGGAACGUUUGUAAACAGAGAGAAGAGAAGCUCCGGCCGGGUUGUUCCGGUCGAACGAGGAGGGUCGCGGGAGCACCGGCUUCCUGAUCUUCCUCCUAACGUAAACUGUUCUGUGCCGUUCCAUAAUCAGCGGUGUGUCGAUCGAGGGCAUAUUGUCGAGAAGGGCGGAAAAAACGGACCAAAGAUUUGGAGCAGGUAGCAUUUUUCAAAGGGAAGAGACGAGUGGUUCUCGGGCGAGACGAGUGGUUCUCGGGCGAGACGAGACGCUCUCGAAAGUUUCCCGGUUUUUUUCGUGGUCGAACACUCGAGGGAUGAACGAGUGGCGUGGAAAAGACAGAUCGGUCGUGGAAGCGUCGAAAUCGCGACGAAAAUCAUGGCUGAUCGAACGGUCAGAGUAGUAACGGUUUUACGUUAAAUCAGGAGGCUGUGUGCUUCGUAGAGCUGUGGUGUCACGAGGAAGGAGCCCACGGUGUGACGCAUGCGACGUGCCGUCUAUCGCGAGAGCUGUGCGUCGUGGAAAACAUCUGCGCGACCGGUGAAGCUUUUAACUCGUGUGCCUCCCCGCUCUGACGUAUUACGUCGACGAACGGAACCAGCGUGGUCCUUGCGUGCUGUGUGAUCCGCAACGGGCCUCGAGCGAAUAAAAAAAGCUUGCGCGUGCCGAGAACGAUACAGGCUGAAUCAGCACGGCCACGCACUGUUCGCUGAUCGUUUCGCGGACUAUGCUCGAGAAUCGCUCGAGACCAGUUCCGUUCGCGAGUCACUUCGGGGAAACCGCGAAAAUAUUCUAAUCGUUGCUGGACGUUGAAAGCCUUCAUUCGCGAUCGAACGUUCGUCGUUGAAGAGUUUUCUUUCUACAUUCGGUUCGGUGUUCGAAUUCAUUCCUUUUAAAACGUUCAUAUCGACGACACUACAACUUGAAGAAUCGAACGCGUGUUAUUUUUGCCAAAGAUUGGUACAACCGGCAGAAGACGGAAAGAAGGUGACAUCGUUGUGCAGUUUCGGUUUCUUUUGGAUGAAAAGGAUAAGCAACGAUGAUCCGGUUGAUGAGAAUUAAUUGACAAAGAAAGAUAGAGAUAGAUAGAUAAAGAGAGAGAGGAAGAGAGAGGGAGAAAAAAAGAGAGAGAGAGUGUGUUUAGCCAACACGGGGAGUUUCUACUUGGAAGGUUUGCAUCGAUCACACUCGACGCAACAACGCGUCCGGUACGCGUUGGGUUCGAGAAGCUGUCGUGAAUUCAUUAAAAUAUCACGCUUCGUCGGUUGCCGCGUGGUUCAAACGAGAAUGUUGCAGAGUACGUGGCUGGGCCUCGAUAGGCAGUUUCACGCGUGAAUGAAAGUAGAAAGAGUCGCUCUGUUUUGCACAGCACUCGCGACCCCGACAAUGUAGCAGAAUCGUUUCGAUGAUUCUCGAGGAUAUUCUGGAGCAAGGGUCGGAUCGUAGCUGUUAAUUCGAUACUACACGUUGCACGCCAGGAUAAGAGACGAGGAAGAACAGGUGGAAGAUCUUGUGCUCGAUACCGAUCUCGACUUUGUCGGAGAGAGAAAGAGGGAAACACGCAGAGAAACGAGUACUAGGCGGAAACUCUCGGUAUCGAUGAUGGUGGAAGGCAAGUUGCCAGGAGACGAUUGGUUGUCGUGGUGCUUGCGUUUCUCUGGUACGAGCUGCUCUUGCUAAUAUCGCGAGUCAAGUGGCAAGUAAACAAAACGAUAAAAGCGAAGGAAUGCCGAGAUACGAUGACGGACUUGGUGGUCGUGCACGAUCUUAGGAUCGCGGUGCCGUUGUCGGCGUCGUCGUCGUCGUCGGCGUCGUCGUCGUCGACACGUAUCUGGUGGGAACGCCGCCGGUGUUGCACGAUCAGCUAAUACAGAUAGAUAGAUCGUUCGAAUCGCGACAGGCCUCGAGCACGACCGGCUGCGCUAGGAGAUUGUCGAGGACUUUUUAGCUCGAACGAUCCGUCGAACGAAAGCUUCGAGGAAUUCCCUCUUCUGUUGGUUCAGCUCGAGGACGAGCUAUCACUUUUCCUCCGGCAAUUCCACCCAGUUGAGCUUUAGCCGGAUUAUUUCUUCAGACGGAUCGAGAAGUAGAAUUCGCGAGGAACACGCGAAGAACAGCGAUCGAGGAAAACACACGAAUGCGAUCAAGGUACAAGAACAGCGAUAAUCGAGGAAAACACCACCGCGGAGAUAUACUUGAAGAACGUAAGCCGUCGAAUUACGAAUAUUAAGGCGGCAUUCAGACAUAAAAAUCUUUAUUCGUCGCUCGACGUGCGAAUUGCUGUCGAAAACGCGUAAGCGCGUCUCACGAACAGAGUCCUUCUAUAUAUAAUCGAAGUCGAGAUAAUCGUUCGCGAACUAAUUGUUAUGGCGAACUAUCGAACAGUCCGGAGGUGAACGAGACUGAAGAAAAUUGAAAAAGAGUACGACGAAGAAAUUACAUUAAUAAAAAUAAUAACGAUAGUAACAAUAACAAAUAAGGAGAAGAAGUAAGAGGAGGGAAGAAAGGUGGACAAAUUUAGCGAAGAGAAAGAAAACUAUUCCACCUUCGAGCAUGGCCUCGGUGGCAGCGUGGCUGCCAUUCGCCCGUGCGGCGGCGAUUGGUUGGGUGCCGAUCGCGACACAUCCACUGCCACCGCCGCCGAUCCCCAAGGAUCGUCGCAAGGCCGAUGACGAAAAGCUGUUGAUAAACGUGAGCGGCCGUCGCUUCGAGACUUGGAGGAACACCCUCGAGAAGUAUCCGGACACUCUUCUCGGUUCGAACGAGCGCGAGUUCUUUUACGACGAGGAGAGCAAGGAGUACUUCUUCGACCGUGAUCCAGACAUCUUCCGUCACAUACUCAACUAUUAUAGAACCGGUAAGCUUCACUAUCCGAAGCACGAAUGUCUGACGAGCUACGACGAAGAGUUGGCGUUCUUUGGUAUCCUGCCGGACGUGAUCGGCGAUUGUUGCUACGAAGAUUAUCGCGAUCGGAAACGGGAGAACGCGGAACGUUUGAUGGAUGACAAGCUGAGCGAGAAUGGGGAUCAGAAUCUUCAGCAGUUACUCGAUAUCAGGCAAAAGAUGUGGAGGGCAUUUCAGAAUCCACACAUCUCGACGGCGGCUUUGGUAUUUUACUAUGUAACCGGUUUCUUCAUCGCCGUGAGCGUGCUGGCGAACGUGGUCGAGACCGUGCCGUGCGGUAAUCGUCCGGGACGCGCCGGUACGCUUUCAUGCGGCGAACGUUACAAGAUCGUCUUCUUCUGUCUGGACACCGCGUGCGUCAUGAUAUUCACCGCGGAGUAUCUGUUGAGGCUGUUCGCGGCCCCGAGUCGGUGCAAGUUCGCGCGAUCCGUCAUGUCCAUCAUCGACGUGGUCGCCAUCCUCCCGUACUACAUUGGUCUCGGCAUCACCGACAACGACGACGUAUCCGGUGCUUUCGUUACGUUGCGCGUCUUCCGUGUGUUCCGGAUCUUCAAGUUCUCCAGGCACUCGCAAGGUCUAAGGAUUCUCGGUUACACCUUGAAGUCUUGCGCCUCGGAGCUUGGCUUCCUCGUCUUCUCCUUGGCCAUGGCCAUCAUCAUAUUCGCCACAGUGAUGUUCUACGCGGAGAAGAACGUCGAUGGAACGAACUUCACCUCGAUUCCUGCCGCAUUCUGGUACACCAUCGUCACGAUGACUACCUUAGGGUACGGUGACAUGGUUCCGAAAACGAUCGCGGGAAAAAUCGUGGGGGGUGUAUGCUCUCUCAGCGGUGUCCUUGUGAUCGCUUUACCGGUGCCUGUUAUCGUCAGUAAUUUCAGCCGAAUAUAUCACCAGAAUCAGCGGGCUGACAAGCGAAAGGCGCAAAGGAAAGCCAGAUUGGCACGAAUCAGGAUCGCGAAAGCGUCGAGCGGAGCGGCCUUCGUGAGCAAAAAGAAGGCGGCUGAGGCCCGACUGGCCGCGCAGGAGAGCGGCCUUCAACUGGACGACAACUACAAGGAGGAGGAUAUUUUCGAACUGCAACAUCAUCAUCUACUUCGUUGUUUAGAGAAGACCACGGAUCGCGAGUUCGUGGAGAUGGAGGUACCCUACAAUGGUGCCCCGAAGAGGCCGGGCUCGCCGUCGCCCCUGACCUCCCCCGCGCACAGCACUGCCUCGAGGGGCGGCCUGCUGCAUGCCUGCUGCGGCCGCUGCUACCCCCAACGUUACCAGAGCUUGUCUUAUCAGCUCACGUCGAACGAGAGCAAGGAUAGAGUGGUGCUCGUAUAUGAAGACCGUAUACAAGUUCGGAAAAAGGACCUAAAGAAGCGCGGUUCCCACACCUGUGACAUGCAGGCCCUACAGCCACUUCCGGUCCCAACCACCACCACCACCAACACCGCGCCUGCCAUGACUACUUCCGGUGGACAGCCACCGCUUCCGGUAUCGGAGACCGCUUGAGUCGAUCACCGAGACCAAUCACGAUCACCAUAUCCGCUAUUAUGAACAAAAAAGAAAAAAAAACAAUAAUAAUAUCACCUUUAACAAACACCAUCACCGUCCUCCUCUUCUACUCGAUGAAAGAACAAUGGCCGACUGGCCGGAAGAACGUAAGAAAGCAGAGACAGACGCGAGAAUCGAUGGCGCCUGGAAUGGCAGGCGCCACCAUUUACCAUGAGAAACAAAGAGAGAGAAAGAGAGAGAGUUUCCACGGAGUCACUGUGAAAGAGAAAACUAUAAAGCAAACAAACGUUCAACGAACGCAGAGCAUUAAAGGAUCGACGACGAUCCACGACGUCCUCGAGGAGGACGGAAGCCGCACGUUCUCGAAGGGCAAGUAUUCCGCGCGACUCGAAGCUGGACGGAAGACACGAAACCGGAGGAACGCGAAGAAGAGGACUUCCCGCCAACGAUCGAAGCCGGAAUUCUUCGUGUUUUCGAGGACGAAGAUUCGCGAAUGCACGCACACGCGCCUGCGCCACCUUCUUCUUUCUGUUUUCGCUCGCGAGAUACGUGACAUCGAUGGAUUUUAGUCCCGUCUCGUACCGCGUUAACUGCGCCUCUUUCCGCCCGAGAACACGAGGCGCGACACCCUGUUUGCAACAAAACGGAAAGAAAAACGAGGAAAGAAGAACGAACGUAUCCGAACCGGAACGCCGUGAAAUCGGACGCUGGUGAAAAACGAUUCGUCGAUGCGUGCACGUUGAUCGACUUUGCCUCCUGUUCUCGCUUUGGAAAGGAGCUUUUUCAAUUUCCAGCCGAUCGGCAGAAAAUGCCGCGCGACUCGCUGAUUUCCGGCACAACUGGCGCGCGUUCCAGCCGCCUCGUUAUUUCCGCAACGCGCGCGUCCAUCAAUCCGACCGGGAAACGAGCGUAGUCGCCAUAUAGAUCGGUCGAUCGAGUUUCGUUCGCAUCGUUCCAACGAAACGCUCACUUUCCCCGUUCCUUUGCGCUCUUUCACAGCAUCUUUCUUGGUACGUUUCCAAGAAGGACGUCGUCGGAACUUCCUCUUUCGAAUGGACGCUUCUCGCAGCGAAAAAGUAGCCGGAAGUGCCGGGCCGAAAUAAUCGAGAGGAAGGACGGUGUCAAAGAAUCGUAUUAGCGAUCUUAAACGAACGAUCCAGGCGAUAGGGAAAGCGAACGAUCAACCGUCGUUUACGAUCGUUCCAACUCUUACGAGUCGUCGUAAUUCUUUAGAGAGAGUUAGAGAGAGAGAGAGAGAGAGAGAGAGAGAAAGUUAGAGAGAGAAUGGGAGAGAGAGAGAGAGAGAGAGAGAAGAAAGAACGUCCCUUCUAGUUAUAAGGAUAAAUUCGAUUUUUAAAAAUGUCUUCGCGAAAGCGAGAGAAAUUCGAUCGAUCCAUGAAACGUACGUACGCAGUUUCUUAUAAGGAGUCUCUUAACUCGCUAGGUUUAAGUUAGCGAACGAUACAUUUAAGGGUACGCGAAACGACGACGAUGAUCGAUCGAUUCGUCGAGGCGGAUAUAAAAAGAGAAAUAUAAGAGAGCAGAAAGAAAUAUAGUAAUUUUACGAUCGCGGUCGUAAAACGUAAGAAACGAUGGUACGAGUAGGGUUUUCGAAUGGUAUCCACGUAGAAUUCCCGUAUUCGCUGGUGCCCUUCUAGUAUUGGGGAUGGGUGAGAUCGACGAGAAACGAUCGCGAGCGUUCGCUAGGGACCGCGUACCUUGAUACUCUAAAUAAAGUAAGAUGAUGCCCUCGUUCUUUCAAAACUCUUCGACGAGUCCAGUUUUCGUUCUUUUUUUCCCUAGUUGAUAGAUUUGUCGAUCGAACAGCCGAUUCGAAUAAUCAACGGGAAUCGAUUGUGGAAUCGUUGCGCUUCAACUGCAUUUGUUCGGAAUCGUUGUCGGAUAUCGAAAGUGAAUGAGCCAAUUUUUUUAAUUCUACCGCAAUUCGUAAUUAUAAAGUGGGAGAUUGCAAGAAAUACGGGGAUGGAAGGGUGGGUCCAGCGAAUCCACGGUCGAACCUCGUUUAUCUCGGGGGAUGAAACAACGUUAGAACUUCGCAGGAACCUUCUCUCGGGCGACAAUAGGCUACGAAGAAUCGGUGUGUUUUAAUUUAAACGACGCUGUAAAUAAUCGUGGGAGGCAUGGGAGGAGUCUCGUGUUGUCUGUAAUUAACUUUGUAAUUAAUUGUAAACGAUCUAACGGAGCGAAGACGAACAAAAGAGAACGAAAAGAAACCAAAAGCAGAGAAAAUAAAAGAGACAGAGAGGAUAUAUAUAUAUAUAUAUAUAUAAUAUGAUAAAUGCAAAUAAGAAAAGGAAUAUAUUAUAUAUAUACAUAAAGAUAUACAGAUAUAUUCUACAGGUAAACAUACACAUACGUACACACAGGCGCACACGAACGUAAAUACGUCGGAACGAGAGGAAGUACGUCAGGAGGACGUAUUAACACAUAUUACUAAUCAUACACACAUACACAUACAAACUUGCAGCACCCUCGCGUCGCGCAAUAAAACAAAUUCUAAAUCAACUUUCAAAAACUAGAAUGCGUGCCUGAGUGCGUGGGAGACCAACCCUCGUGAAUCACCGAGCCCAACCCUUCUUUAAACUCUAAUUUAGGUGUUAAAUAUUAGCUAAUUUUAGAUGAGCGAGGGUACGCGUGUUUUGGUUGCUCAAAAUACUCUUGAAAAUCGAAAGUAGGACGGAAAGGGAACAAAGGAAGGGAGAAUUUUUUUAUUUUAUUAAUUUUCAUCCACGCGAGCUAUGUGCAUGGAAGCAUCACGAUACAGAUUAAAGUCAAGUGCGGCAGAAUUCUUCGAACCGUGUAGCCGAAAAUAAGAAAAAUGUAGAACAAACUAUUUUCAACGUUGAAGCGAAAAGGGAGGGGAAGGGAGAAUAUUAGCGAGGUCAGGAAGUUAUUAACAUAGAAUGCGAAAAAUGCAUCGUCGGAGGUGCGGCUCGGUGGUUCACGGUCAGAAAAAGACGUAAACGUGAAUCUAAGUAAAUAAAAAAGAAAAAAAAAAGAAGAUUAUUACAUUAUAUUAAUAUGAUCGUAGAGAUAAUCGAGAAUAAUGUGUCAGGUCCUUUGUCGUCCAAAGAGCUGCAGUUGUAUCACGAGAUCGCGUAUUAAAAAGCGAAUGGGAAACUAGAGAGAAGGAAAAAUAGAGAAAAGAGUGUAAGGUUAAUGCUACGAAGAAAUCGAACGUAGCAAAACGAUGGCUCGAGCUUAAUCCGAAUUUAAAUAUAAUACCUCUCUCUCGCAACAUUUCAAUUAUAACGAUCCCUCGAUGUUAUCGUACAUUUUUUAUUCCUUUCUUGUCUUAGAAAGAUUCUAAUAAAUUUAAGGAAAAGCAAGAAAAAGAAAGAAAUAUAACAAAUAUGACGUACCCAAUUUGUUGGUCGAGAAAAAUGGCUGUCCGGGUUAAGCUUCGACGCCAUGUUGCCUUUGCCAGCACGAAAUUGCUCGGGAAACUCGGUAAAAGAACGAGGAAUAAAAAAAAAAAAAGAAAAAGAAGAAGAAAGCAUAGAAAAUAAAAAUCGAUAAAAAACGUAGCAGCGUACGCGAGUUAUUUAGAGAUUAAUUUGCCGGAACUAAUUAGUCUGUCGUUGUUGGCGAGUUAUCGCGUCUUUACUUCCGGUUCGCGACGCAGCGAUGCACGGAGAUUUUCCGAUUCGGCAAGGGUCGUUCGCGAACCUUUUCUACUCGGUCUUCGAUUUCGAUUACGGAUCGUCGGGAGUCCCUGGUUCGUCGAUUUCCUCCCCGUGGUUUCUCGUGGCGUUAGCCGGAAAUCGCGUCGGCGCUGCCGUUGCCGGCCAAUUCACCGGCUAAUCGAUCGGUCUCGAGCCGAGCUCUAUGCAAGCAAUUUUCGAGGAAUAAAAGAAAAUAAAGGGGAUGAAACGGUGACUCUCGUGAUGCGUGUGCACCGAGGAAAAAGCUGCUUGACACUCUCUGCUUCCUAUAGCGGAAUACGACAGUCUUUAUAUUUACAAAAUGGAAAGAGAGAAAGAGAAAAGUAUCUCUGUUAUUUGACAUUAUUGUUUAUUUUCUGCGAACUGGUAUUUCCAUUGUUCCGAUGAUCUUUACACUUCUCUUUUUUUUUUUAUUCGCUUUGUGGUGCACAAGGAACGAGAAGAUCGAGGGAACACGCGAUCGAGGGAAGCUAGGAACAUGAAUAACGAGUCUUUCAAUUCACUACCGUACUGCCAAUUUUUCCGAUGAGACGCGUAAUAACUUUAAUAAGAGUUUAAGACGAGGCGAACUGGCGCGACGAGCGAUACGAUUCGCGUCCACAUACGCUCGUCCGACCUUUGUUCGUCUUCUUUCGUCGCUCCGAAGUCCUGACGGAGAGCUAUCCCGCGAUGUUUCCGGAGGGACACGUCACAGAGGGUUCUACUCUUUAUCGCUAAACCAUUGCCACGGUUUUUCCCUAUUAUACAUCGUAAUCUACCGCUAAAGAUAAUAGCAAUUUUCUCGAACAAACAACAAGCAUCCGUGUUCUUUUUGAAAUCUAUAAAUUGAUCGAUAUUCAGCGAUUUAUUCCCCUGUGAUAACUCCGUCGAUGCUGCAACGGCCGAUCCAACAAAAUCCUACGUUCUGAACAUACGUUCGAAUCGAUCGUUCUCGCUAAAUGUAAUCGACACAAAGAGAAAGAAGCGGGUACUUUCGCCUCGCACAAUCAAUGGAAAAAGCAACGCGAUUCUCCUGCGGUGCGAGAGGAAUCGAAGGAAACUGAAUGAACCGUGGCGCGAGCAUCAGAGGCGACUGAAUUCGAGCGGUUCGAUCGAUCAGCCGUGCCGCUUCCGCUUUGUUUCGAAGCCGAUUAAAAGAGCCACCCUCUCCGCCGGUCCCUCCGGUGGACUUGCUUUUGCAUCGUGAACGGAAAAAGCGAUCCUUUUGUAAUCAGGACACCGUCCACAGGACCUGCGAGCGUAGCAGGAUCGGCCAAUGUUCCUGACACGCUCCACCGUGAUUGCGAUUCACGCCGUUCGACCGGGAGAUCGAGCCUGCGAAACCAAACUUCCAGGUUUUCCAGCCGCGGGAAAUUAUCCAAUGAAUACGAAAUUUCUGUUCAUUUGCAACGAGCGAAGUAGAUUCACGGACGAAUCUUGUGUUACGCGAAAGCGUUGAGAAACCGACGGUGAAAGAUUGAGAACGAAUAGCUGUGCGAAAAUUCUAGAAGCUACGUUAAUUUUAAACGAUGGUUUUUCCAAGCUCGUCUCGAUGUUCGAUAAUUCUUAGAAAAGUUUCACGAUCGCGUAAUAAAUAAUUUUAGUGGAUUUCUCGAUGUUUCGUAAGUUUAUCCGUAACAGCGUGACAUGCUACGCAAAGAUGUACAUUUCUAUAAACUAUCCUGCCGUUAUUGAAACUUUUACCGAGAUUCACCAGUUCCUGGACACGUGUCCCUCGUGAAACUAAAGCUCUUACAGUUUCUCAACGCAUGUAGGUUGCAAUCAAUUUCAAAGUUCCCUCUCCCGGUCGUGACUAGACAGUUUAUGUAAUCGAGCGACGAUUAAUCGAGCCAGAUUGAAAACGAGAACAGACCGCCGGUGAUUCGAGGAUCGUGGCAACGCGGAGACCUGCGCCGGACACCGAGUUCGUCGAACUUCCCUUCUUCUUUGUAUAUUUUUCUUAAAACUGAUCGAACAAGGGGGUCGCUUCUCCUUCGAACGCUUCUGAUCCCGUUAGUUCCACGAAAUUUAAUUAAUCCUCGAAUCUUUCGAUCGAACAUAAAACUGUCGAGCGUUCUUCUAAUCGAAGUUUUCACGCGAGAAGAACGAUCAGCGAGGAAGAAUCACGGGAAGUUCGAAAGGAAAGCGAUCAUCCUGACUGUUUUCGUAGCCUCGUGUAAAGAAACGUCGCCGAGAAAGAAUCGAAAAGGGACAAAGACGAUGGAAACUCCAGGGGAAAGAAACGCGACGAUAGUGUUCGUCGAGCGGUGUCGCGCAAACGUCUAGUUUCCGAUGCACUAACUUUAGUUUCCUAAGCGGACACGAGGACAAUUGUCUCUCCGGUCAGAGGCUCGGGGUUACGCACCGUGUUAUCGAUCAUACUUGGCAAUAACGAUAUUUUUAAUCGUACAACUGUAAAAAAAAACAAGAUGGAGUAAAGAGAACAGAGAGAAACAGAUAAAAAAAACAAAGGAGAAAAAUCUAUAUAUAUAUAUAAAUAAAUAAAUGAAUGAAUAAAUAAAUAUACAUACGUAAUAAGUGGACGGAGAAGUAAAAGAAUAAAAAAGAAAAAAAAGGAAAGGUAGUUGGAAAGACGAUUUAUCGACAGCGGUCAAGCGCCGGCACGUUGUAACAAGUACACCCGAUAGUUGUAACUAGGAACGGGAUGAAGACGUUUUAGCCGAUGGUGUUGUCCGUCUUCGGUAGCUUCCACGCCUUACUCAAAAGUGAAAAAUAAAUUGAAAUUCAUAUUUAA